AUGUUCCUAUCCACUAACUUCAACGCCAACAACGACACUCCGCUUCUCUCCCACGGUGGCGCCGCCAACGUCUCAUUCAUCACUGCGCCGUUUCUCUUCACGGCCUUCGCCGGCGGAAUCUCCCUCGUCGCCGUCGUAUUCUUCUAUGGUGCUACUAG